UCAAUAUGUACAGAGAUUGUGAUUCAAUGUAAUACGUACAAUUCAUCUACAUUCUCCUGUUUUUGCAGGACACAGACCUAAAGCAGAGGACAACAGCUCUACAUUGACUCAGAGGAAUCCUCCAGUACGACGACACAAACCAAAACCACUGCACAGCUCUACAUCAACUCCCACACUUUCAAGAGGAUUCCUGCAGUAUGCUGUUCAUGGUGAAGACCAGCUUGAGGCUGAUAGGGAUGCAAGUUGGACUGCUUAUCAAAGACAAAGGCCUGCUACAAGUCUUCAUCAUUCAUCACAAGGUCGACAUCAUUCAUCUCAAAGGGGGCAUGGCAACUGGCUAGUUGGGCUCAAUGUGAAGAAAAAGACUGAAUCUUUUGUGUGUUCACAAAACAUGGACUGUUGACCACAUAGUGUUUUGGACUUGUACUACAUCAUGUACUGUACUCUUUUCAAUGACAUCACACUACAUAUUGGUAAAACGGUCCCUGGAGUAAUAUUUGAAUUAGAUUCCUAAUGGCCCAGAAGUCAUGGAUGAGGGUACUGAUGUAUGGUUACAGAUUCAAACCUGCAACCUUCCAAUUGCAAGAUUAAGCUUAAUGCCCAAUAGACCACAGCUCUGUACAGUACAUUUUCUUCUACAUAAAUCCUUUCUCCCUCCAUCAGUCUUACCAAAACAUAAUGUUUUCUUACUGCAACCCCAAUUUCUCCCGUGCCCUGUUUGGCUAGCUGAUUUGUCAUGAAUUUUGGUGGUAUAAAGUAGUAACCAUCUGUGUAUGUAUUAAUAUGUGAAAUUGAACUUGAACAACAAAUAUGUAGUUGAAUUCACGUUUUGACUUAUAAUUUCAAGGCAGCAGGGGAACUUGGUUUUGGUAGUCUUUUUUGAAUGUACUAUACAAGUUAAA